rnacentral:misc_RNA from 1 species
UACGGGAGGUGCAAGCGUUGUUCGGAGUGAUUGGGCGUAAAGCGCACGUAGGCGGGUUUGUAAGUCAGAUGUGAAAGCCCCGGGCUUAACCUGGGAAUUGCAUCUGAAACUACAGGUCUUGAAUGUUUCAGGGGUUGGUAGAAUUCCUGGUGUAGGAGUGAAAUCCGUAGAGAUCAGGAGGAAUACCGGAGGCGAAGGCGGCCGACUGGGAAAACAUUGACGCUGAGGUGCGAAAGCGUGGGGAGCAAACAGG